GGUGGCUCAGUGUUAGAGCGCUUUUGCCUUGCAUGCAUGAGGCCCUGGGUUCGAUUCCCCAGCACCA
rnacentral:tRNA from 1 species